UGGGAUAUAGGAGGCGGUAUAAGUGUUAUUCAUUACAUUUGGCGUACACUUACGGGCUGAAAGGAAGCAACAUUCACGCAAAAUCCUCUAUUACAUUACAAAGAAAAUGGAAACAUAAAUUUCUGCAUAACAUGGGCUGAAAGGAAACAACAUUCAUGCAACAGCCUUUAUUAGAUUACAAAGAAAAUGGAAACAUAUACUUCUGCAUAACAUGUGAACUGCAGUGCCGAACAAUUCACUGACUUUAUUCUUCUGGCCUUUUUAACUAGUAGCUCCCUAUUCUCCGAGAGCGAACACGGUCGCAUCAUGGGUGUCAGACAGACCGGUGUUGGUCUUGACGGUGACCUUAUCAGCAGAAGACUCAUCCAUAUAGACCUCGACCAAAGACAGGUCCUCAAUCUUGACCCCGGUGACCUUCUUCAUCUUGCCCUUCUCCACAAAAGCGGUCACCUCGGUGUCGUAGGAGACGGUCUGGUUGAUCUUCUUGAAGGUGUGCUCGUUCUUCUUCUUCUGAAGCAUCCACACAAACCCACUCUCACAAUUGUGCCCGACCUCCUCGAUGUCAUCCAUAGGAAAGAGACCUUUCGGGAGGCCGAGUUCUUUGAGAAGCUCAACCGUCUUCUGCUUGCAGAUAUCGUUCCCUUUGUGGACCUCGGCGCCGGUGCGGUGGCUCUCGACAAGCUGCGACGCCAUUUUGGGGAAGUGGGUUGUUUUAGCUAGUUUGCUAGUUUGCACGAUUGGUAGAUGAGCUUGUUGAAUGUGAUAGAUCAGGAUCCGAUGGUGCUGCCUUAUAUAGAUAUUGCAAGUUGUACUGGCUUCAAAGAGCCUCUUGGAAGCUGCUACACACGUGCCAACGCCGUGAGACCAGCAGCUCUCUUCUGUGGACUUCUCUCAGCAGUUGAAGAGAAUAGAGUUAGCUCAUUACGUGCAGCCAUAUCUGACCAUUGAAAUGCCUUAUGCUGAACUCUAAUAGAACACUGGAGUUGAGUAGGUCACGGAUGACUGGAUUGACCAUUGCAUUUAUUGUUUUGUCAUCGCAGCUGCGUGAGGUCGAAGGAACCCUACGUGCGCCAUGGAAGCAAUGUGCGUGCCACAGUUCUGCACAAACGCAAGAUCAUGGUGAUGCAUAGCAACGAGGGGGGAGAGUGUUGUCCAGGUACCCUCGUAGACCGAAAGCGGAAGCAUUAGCACAACGCGGUUGAUGUAGUCGUACGUCUUGACGAUCCGACCGAUCAAGUACCGAAUGCACGGCACCUCCGAGUUCAGCACACGUUCAGCUCGAUGACGUCCCUCGAACUCCGAUCCAGCCGAGCUUUGAGGGACAGUUCCGUCAGCACGACGGCGUGGUGACGAUGAUGAUGUUCUACCGACGCAGGGCUUCGCCUAAGCACCGCUACGAUAUUAUUGAGGUGGAUUAUGGUGGAGGGGGGCACCGCACGCGGCUAAGAGAUCUCAAGGAUCAAUUGUUGUGUCCCUAGGCGGUGCCUCCCUCCCCGUAUAUAAAGGAGUGGAGGAGGGGGAGGGGGCCGACCACCCUUGGCGCGCCCCAUGAGGAGUCCUACUCCCACCGGGAGUAGGACUCCCUCCUUCCUUGUUGGAGUAGGAGAGGAGAGGGAAGGAGAGAGAGGGGAAAAGGAAAGGGGGGCACCGCCUGAGGGAGUCCUGGAUAAGGGGGUAUCCGGACAGCCAGACUGUAUACUCUGUCCGGACUGUUGGAACGUGAAGAUACAAGACUCAAGACUCCAUCCCGUGUUCGGAUGGGACUCUCCUUGGCGUGGAAGACAAGCUUGGUGAUCCAAAUAUUAUAUUUCCUUCCUUGUAACCGACUCCAUGUAAACCCUAGCCCUCUCCGGUGUCUAUAUAAACCGGAGAGUUUGGUCCUUAGAGGGACGAUCACAAUCAUAAUCAUCAUAGGCUAGCUUCUAGGGUUUAGCCUCUACGAUCUCGUGGUAGAUCAACUCUUGUACUAUUCAUAUCAUCAAUAUCAAUCAAGCAGGAAGUAGGGUUUUACCUCCGUCGAGAGGGCCCGAACCUGGGUAAAAGUUGUGUUCCUUGCCUCCUGUUACCAUUAGCCUAAGACGCACAGAUCGAGACCCCCUACCCGAGAUCCGCCGGUUUUGACACCGACAUUGGUGCUUUCAUUGAGAGUUCCUCUAUGUCGUCGUUGCAAGGCUUGAUGGCUCCUUCAAUCGUCAACAACACGGUCCAGGGUGAGACUUUUCUCCCCGGACAGAUCUUCGUGUUCGGCGGCUUCGCACUGCGGGCCAACUCGAGCAGAUUGACAGCUACGCCCCUGGCCACCAGGUCAGGUUCGGAAACCUGAACUGCAUGGCUGAUAUCUGCGGAGACUUGAUCCUCGACGAAUUCGGGCCUAUGCCAGGAACGCCGGACAAUCACGAUGAGCACGGCUUAGACCUGCUGUCGGUUAAUGCUCGAGAUAUCGCCCUUGCAGGAGCCCCGGACCUAAAUCCGGAGUAGAUCGCGCCGCCCGAGGACGGGUGGAUGGACUCUGCCCCGCGAGCCGCACACUCAUCGGCGUUAGAGCCGAACACAGGUCUCACCCCUAAAGAAGCCUGUGACACCGGACCCCCGGACUCGUAUCCGGCUAUAGGUUCCAGUCCGCGCGCUCCUGAGCCCGCCGAACCUGGUUGGGCUCCUGUAAUGGAGUUCACCGCAGCGGAUAUCUUCCAGCACUCGCCCUUUGGCGACGUGCUGAACUCGUUAAAGUCUCUCUCUUUGUCAGGAGACUCUUGGCCGAACUAUGUCCGGCUAGAGUGGGAAGCGGGUGAGGAAGGAAUUCGUUGCCCACCCACCACCCACUUCAUUGCCACGGUUGAUGACUUAAACAACGUGCUUGACUUCGACUCCGAAGACAUCGACGGUAUGGACGACGAUGUUGAAGAAGAACAGGAGCCACCACUCACGAGGCGGUGGACAACCACCUGCUCAUAUGAUAUAUAUAUGAUGGACACUCCGAAAGAAACCAAUGGCAAUGAGGCAAUGGAGGAUAAACCCUCAGGGAAGAAAUCCAAGCAUGGGCGUCGUCAACGCCGCUCCAAGCCUCGCCACAACAAUACUGGCACAGGAGACAAAAACAAUCCAGAUGGUGCCAAAGACGAAUACAACCCUGAUCAGCCUGCCUUCAAGCAGGCCGAACUGGCCAUGGUGGGAUACUUGGAGAGGAACAACUAUAUGCCCUCCUCCGAAGACGAGGUAAGCCUCGGCGAUGCCGAAUUCGGCGUACCUGAAGACCCCGUGGAACAAGUCCGCUUCAAGCGACGGCUCAUGGCCACUGCGAGGAGCCUGCAAAGGAAGCAACAGCAGCUCAAAGCUGACCAAGAUUUGCUCGUGGACAGAUGGACCAAGGUCCUGGACACAAAAGAAUACAGACUCGACGACCCCGACAAAGGACACACAUGGCAUAAUUUGCUACCUCAACCCAAGAAGAAGAACCUAAGGCACAUACACCAACAUCCACAUACUACCACAGUCCAAGACAAUACGAAGGAUACACGAGGAGGAAUCCUCAGGCCUCGGCGCAAUCGUCACAAACGUCAAGUCAGGGAAGUUGGUGCCGAAUUCAGCGGUCCCUAGUCUGGUCAGCGGAAAAAGAAUAGCCCAGGCCCAUCUGACUCAGGCAGCAUGCUCAAUCAACCAUGUGAAAUUCACGGUACCCCCAGAAGGACGGCCAAGCAUACCAACAGAGAAUGCAAGAUCUUCCAAACAAAAUGGCCGAUCUUGCGCCGGGACCAAUGACAGAACCAGUCAAACAUGGCGAGGACGAUCCCCUCACAGUACGAAAAUACGGCCGAUCGUCUCUAAUCACUUUGACCGUCCGGACAACACCAGCCAUAGCAAUUCUAUUGCGCUCACUAUCUACCCAGUAGCCCGGGGCUCCAUUUUACAAGAAGCCCCCAUAGGCAUACAAUUAUCAAUAACAUCUCCUCAAAGAUGCAAGGUGCAAAGGCCAAGUUUUAACUGACCCACCAUACUAACGGUUGUCUUCGGACCACCAAACAAAUACCACACCGAAGAAUAAGUCUUCGGCAUUAUCCCUCAUAUAGUAAUUACCACAUACUACCGGGACGAGCCACGUUGGCUAGAUUCAACGAGGCAGAACGUCAGGCCAGUCCUGCGUGACAUAGUCAUAGUCAUGGGAAAGGUCAAGCCCCACCCUUAGAGUGGAAAUCAUACCGCCGCUGGAAUAGCGAGUCGUGCCUGUUUAUCAAAUUUUGAUUUGGCAGCCAAACAACCGGACACCAAUUGAGGAAUCCGCAUUACUUUACGACAGGGUUCAGCCAGGCUCCACUCAGGCACCCGCGGUCCAAACACAACGAUACAUGCAACGGCCUUUAAGCAUUUGUCUUGACGGACUAACUUUGGUGCAGAAUAGGACUGGCGACGCGGAAUCAUCUCGGACGCACAAGCUAGGCAGUCCGGAUACACCUCAGAUCCACCCACAGCCUCCUCCAGUCCGGCCAUGACAGGUUCUGCCAAAAAUACUCCUUUUCAUAAGCAUACACCGAACUCAUAUGCAUAGACAUGUCAUUUUACUACAAUGUGUAGACUUAAAUAACACUUACCGGCCGUCAUUUCUCAUCGACGCCUCUUUGUCAAAAAAGGCACCCAUGCCUUGUGUUAUGCCCGAUUAUGCCAGGGGCUACAUAGUACGGCAAUAAAGUCCAACCACCUUUUUGGUCGCUCGGCACCCCGAACUUAUAGCACUAUAUGCAUCAGCUCCGAAUCAUGUCUUGGGUCAUUGGUUGGGUUUUCCUGGCUCCCAUGUUUUGGUACCUUAUGUUCCGCCCCAUCGGCUAAGGUAGCGCUGGGAGAACUACUGCGAUUGUGUCCCAGUUCUUCCGGACGAGCACCUCAGUAGAGAAAGCCGAAAACUAACUGUCAUGAUACAGCGAGAACUGGUCAACUGUUCGAGAGGUUGUAAAAUCCUUAAAGAUUUAUUCCACAUAAUGCCAUUAUAAAUGCAGAGUGCGACGGAUCGGUCUUCCGAUCAGGCGCCAAUAGAGCCCUAGUUCGGCCUUCCGAACACCAGGGGCUGCGCCGACCAUACUCGAAUUCCUAUGGCUAAGUGAGAGUGAUAAAGCCCUAUAGUCCGAUUGCCUGGUUCGUGGUGAGGAACACCUCCUUAAAAGGGCCCAAGCAUGGGAUAAAGAGUGUUCAGGUAUGUCCCGAACACCCCCGUACUUUUACAUGGGGGCAGAAGCCGACGACUGGCCAACUCUCAGGAUUUACAUACAUUAAACAGCCACACAUGGAAGAACAAACGUUCAAACAAAACAGGCAAUAAAUAAUAAAAGUUCCAUUAUCCCAUGUUACAAAGAACGACACAAUUGCCUGCAGGGAAAUAUAAUGUCUUUGGUACACUUAUCCGCCACAAGGCGGGCUCCUUUUAGUACACCUUCAUAGUACAAGUCGGGCUUGCGGUGCUCCUUCCCCUCCGGCGGCCCCUCAGUCAUCAGCUUCUCCACAUCAAGCUUCCCCCAAUGCACCUUUGCACGGGGAAAUGCCAUGUGCGCACCCUCUAUGCAUACCGAUCGCUUAAUGACAUCAAGCCGAGGGCAGGCGCCAACAAUCCGCUUCACGAGUUUGAAGUAACUACUUGGAAUUGGCUUUGUGGGCCAUAGACGGACAACCAAGUCCUUCAUGGCUAGUUCGGCCGCCUGGUGCAGUUUGACCAGCUGCUUUAGCUGAUCGAUAAAGGGCACCGGAUAAUUCGGCGCCAAAUACUACGACCAGAAAUCCCUCUCCACAGACUUCUUCUCCUCGGUCCGAUAGAAUUGGGCGGCAUCUGAUAUGCUGCGAGGCAGAUCCGCAAACGCCCCUGGAAAAACAAGAAUUCAGCUUAUCGCUUAGAGUUCCUCCCGCUAUUAUGUAAAAAAAACAUGAAUACAAAAGGCCUUACCGGCCGCAACCUUCCGGGCCUCCUGAAUAUCCCGCAAAGCACCUCGGGCUUCUUCCCGAGCAUCCUCCGCGGCUUGUAGAGCUUCGGCGAGUUCAGAUUCUUUCCCUACUAGACUCUGCUCCAAGCCCUCGCUUUUCUUCAUGGUCUCCAGGAGCUCUCCUCAUCUUCAAUAACCCUGGCCUCGUGCUUCUCACGAAGAACCUGUUCGGCGGCGGCCCUAUCAUCGGCGUCGGCCACAGCCUUAUUUAGUGCCUCAAUUUCGGCACUCGCCCCUAGAGCAUACAAUGUAAAUACAUUAAUUAGGCACAACUUCGAAUUAGUGCCUUACCUAGCAGAGGGUUCCGGCAUACCUUGCUUGUCCUCCAACUACUUCUUCACGUGGCCAAGUUCCCCUUCGGCCCGUUCUAGAUGCUGCUUUAGUUCAAACACCUCCGCACUAUGAGCGGCGGACGUUCCUGCAGACACCUGUUUUCAAACAAAGGGAUGCACGUCAUUAACCGAGUCUCCUGCAAAAACGGAAAAUUUUGAUCCCUUGUUCGGCUCUCUUUCGCCAAACAGUGUAUCAGGGGCUACUACUCAUAUUAUGAAAAUUCCUUAAAGAUUUCUUAGAAAACAUACCCCAAAGCCCUUCAUAAGACUAAGGCAGGAUUCGUUCAGUCCGCUCUCAGCGGACUGAAUCUUUUCAAUCACCGCGCCCAUGAGGGCGCGAUGUUCAUCAAUGAUAGACGCGCUCCUUAGCGCCGCCGAUAGGCCCCCCGGCAGCCCUGCUUGGGCACUGGCCACUGGCGGAACAGGUAAGCUCCCCAAAGGCGGCUGCUCACCCGAUCCUGGAGCUUUAAAGGUCUCCGGGACUGUGUCCGGCUGGGGUCCGUACUGAAGAUCACCCCCGCCAUUGACGCACAUAGGAGUCGGUGCUCCCGUGUGUCCGGCCCCAGGGAUAUGCCCCCCCGGUCCAGGUCCCGCUGAGACGACACCUCGGUCAUGCCUAGGCUUCGGGGAAGGGGCCUCUGGAGGCGUCUCGCUCGCCAGGGCAUCUGAGCUCAGCAAAUCCUCCGAUGAGGAUCGUCCGGCAUGAGACCUCGCCGGGCUACAUGAUGUAUGGCGACAGUUAAAACUGCUAUAUCUAAACAACCCCGGACACAUAUGCGUGUUCGGAUUUCAUGUACUUAAGACUUUUCCAGGGGCUGGACCCUGGGAUCCCACUCCGGGCUGCUAUCAGCAGCCGUGGUGGAUGCCUCCGGGAGGGAACCUUUCCCCCUCUUCGGCGAUUCGGCCUCCAGGGAUGGGGAAGCCGUCCUUUUCUUCCCACCCCCUGCGGGAGGGUCGUCCUCCUCCGCCUCCUCCUCUUCGUCUUCAGAAGAAGGAUGGUCGCUGGAGUCUUCGGAUUUUGCGUCCGAAGCAUCGCGGCGAUGGAGGCCACUCCGGGUCUUUUUGACCUUCUUGGAGGCCUCUUUCUUUGGCGCCUCGUAAGGCGCUGGGACCAACAUCUUCGUCAAAAGAGGUCCGGCCGGUUCUUCCGGCAGGGGGGCAGGACAGUGUAUCCGCUCCACCUUUUUCGUCCAUCCCUGGGGUUAUGGUAAAACAUGAUAAAAGUGUCCCCCUUAGGACAUCCCAACUGAAGCAUGGAUGGACAAGAGCAUAGCAGUAACUUACUGAACUUGCAGAAUGGGAUAAUUGAUACCCACGGUCCUCGGUGGAGCUCGGCCAUGAUUUGCCGGACUUAAAAAGCACCUUCCAGAUAUCCUUGUGGGAGGAAUCAUAGAGCGUCCGAAGGGUCUGGUGCCCAGUUGGGUCGUAUUCCCACAAAUUGCAGGCCCGACGCUGGCAAGGGAGAACCAGGCGAACUAACGUCACCUGGACUACGUCAAUGAAUUUGACGUCCUUGUCGACCACACUCUGGACGCGCGUCUGGAGCAAUGGCAGCUCAUCGGGCGAGGACCAGUCCAGGUCCCUUCUUGGGCCAGGACGUGAGCCACAGUGGGGCUUCGGAACUAAACUCAAGAGCCGCAGCCCACUUUUUGCCGCGCGGUUCGGUGAUAUAGAACCACUGCUGCUGCCACUCCUUGACGGAGUCAUUAAAGGCGCCCGUCGGCCAUAUAACCUUGGGCACCUUACUCACCAUGGCGCCGCCGCACUCGGCGUGCUCGCCACUCACCACCUUGGGCUUCACAUUGAAAAUCUUCAGCCAUAGGCCGAAGUGAGGCAAAAUUCGGAGAAAAGCCUCACACAUGACGAUGAACCUCGAGAUGUUGAGGAAAGAAUUGGGAGACAGAUCAUGAAAGUCAAUCCCGUAAUAAUACAUAAUACCGCGAACGAACGGGUGGAGGGGAAACCCGAGCCCGCGGACAAAAUGAGGAAGAAACACGACCCUCUCAUGGGACUCCGGAGUAGGGACGAUCUGUCCCGCCGUCGGAAGACGGUGGCCGAUCUUCUUGGCCAGGUACCCGGCCUCUCGGAGCCUCUUGAUAUCCUUCUCCUGGACGGUAGAGGCCAUUGAUACGUCUCCAACGUAUCUAUAAUUUUUGAUUGCUCCAUGCUACUUUAUCUACUGUUUUAGGCAAUAUUGGGCUUUAUUAUCCACUUUUAUAUUAUUUUUGGGACUAACCUAUUCCAGAUUUGUUGUUUUAUGCCUAUUUCAGUGUUUCGAGGAAAAGGAAUAUCAGACGGAGUCAAAACGGAACGAAAUCAACUGGAGAAGUUAAUUUUGGAAGGAAACCAACCAGAUGGGCUUGGGGUGCACGUCAGGGGAGUCCCGGGCUGCCCACGAGGGUGGGGGGCGCCCCCCUGGGUGCGGCCCCCUACCUCGUGAGCAACCCGGAGGUCCACCGACAUAGCCCCUGCACCCAUAUAUACCUACGUACCCUAAAACUUCCAGAACAGAAAAUAGAUCGGGAGUUCCGCCGCCGCAAGCCUCUGUAGCCACCAAAAACCUCUCAGGAGCCCGUUCCGGCGCCCUGCCGGAGGGGGAUCCCAUCACCGGUGGCCAUCUUCAUCAUCCCGGCGCUAUCCAUGACGAGGAGGGAGUAGUUCACCCUCGAGGCUGAGGGGUGUGUACCAGUAGCUAUGUGUUUGAUCUCUCUCUCUCUCUCGUGUUCUUGAGGUGAUACGAUCUUGAUGUAUCCCGAGUUGUGCUAUUGUAGUUGGAUCUUAUGAUGUUUCUCCCCCUCUACUCUCUUGUGAUGAAUUGAGUUUCCCCUUUGAAGUUAUCUUAUCGGAUUGAGUCUUUUAUGAGAACACUUGAUGUAUGUCUUGCCGUGAUUAUCUGUGGUGACAAUGGGAUAUCAUGUGCCACUUGAUGUAUGUUUUGGUGAUCAACUCACGGGUUUCGUGACAUUGGGAACCUAUGCAUAGGGGUUGGCACACGUUCUUGACUCUCCGGUAGAAACUUUGGGGCACUCUUUGAAGUACUUUUAUGUUGGUUGGAUGAAUCUGAGAUUGUGUGAUGCAUAUCGUAUAAUCAUGCCCACGGAUACUUGAGGUGACAAUGGAGUAUCUAGGUGACAUUAGGGUUUUGGUUGAUUUGUGUCUUAAGGUGUUAUUCUAGUACGAACUCUUUUAUAGAUUGAUCCGAAAGAAUAACUUUGAGGUGGUUUCGUACCCUACCAUAAUCUCUACGUUUGUUCUUCUCUAUUAGUUGCUUCGGAGUGACUCUUUGUUGCAUGUUGAGGGCUUGUUAUAUUACCUAUCUAUGUUAUUAUUGUUGAGAGAACUUGCACUAGUGAAAGUAUGAACCCUAGGCCUUGUUUCCUACCAUUGCAAUACCGUUUACGCUCACUUUUACCACUUGUUAUUUCAGAUUACAAAAACCUAUAUCUACUAUCUAUUUUGCACUUGUAUCACCAUCUCUUCGCCGAACUAGUGCACCUAUACAAUUUACCAUUGUAUUGGGUGUGUUGGGGACACAAGAGACUCUUUGUUAUUUGGUUGCAGGGUUGUUUGAGACAGACCAUCUUCAUCCUACGCCUCCUACGGAUUGAUAAACCUUAGGUCAUCCAGUUGAGGGAAAUUUGCUACUGUCCUACAAACCUGUGCACUUGCAGGCCCAACAACAUCUACAAGAAGAAGGUUGUGUAGUAGACAUCAAGCUCUUUUCUGGCGCCGUUGCCGGGGAGGUUAGCGCUUGAAGGUAUAUCUUUAGAUCUUGCAAUCGAAUCUUUUUGUUUCUUGUUUUAUCACUAGUUUAGUUUAUAAAAGAAAACUACAAAAAAUGGAAUUAAGGAUGCCUCAUAUGCUUCAUCUUUUUAAUGUCUUUCGUGAAAAUGAUGGGAAGGAAAAUUGUGCUCAAGUACUAGAAGAAGAAUUACAUAGAAUGCUUGGCAUAAAAUAUGUGAAUGAUGAGCAUGAUUGCAAUGUUGUUAGUAUGAAUUCCUUGAAUAUCCAUGAUUCUAAUGAUAUGCAAACCACAAGCUUGGGGAAGCUAUGUUUGAUGAAGAUGAUAUUUUUUGUCCCCCAAGCUUUGAUGAGCAAAUUUACUAUGAUGAAAGCAUGCCUCCUAUCUAUGAUGAUUAUUGUGAUGACACGUAUGCUUUAAAGAAUAAUGAUAACCAUGAAACUUGUCAUCUUGAUCUUAAUUUUCAAUCAUAUGAUAGUUAUUUUGUUGAGUUUGCUCCCACUACUAUUGAUGAGAAGAAUUUUGCUUACGUGGAGAGUAAUAAAAUUUCUGUGCUUGUAGAUCAUGAAAAGAAUGUUUUAGGUUCUGGUUAUAUUGUUGAAUUCAUUCAUGAUGCUACUGAAAAUUAUUAUGAGGGAGGAACAUAUGCUUGUAGGAAUUGCAAUAAUAUCAAGUUUCCUCUCUAUGUGCUUAAAAUCUUGAAGUUAUGCUUGUGUUACCUUCCUAUGCUAGUUGAUUAUUGUUCCCAUAAGUUGUUUGCUCACAAAAUCCCUAUGCAUAGGAAGUGGGUUAGACUUAAAUGUUCUAGUCAUAUGCUUCAUGAUGCUCCCGCUAUGUUUCAAUUCUUAUCUUUUAUGUGAGCAUCAUUGUCAUCAUCAUGCCUAGCUAAAAGGCAUUAAAGAAAAGCGCUUGUUGGGAGACAACCCAAUACUUAUCCUUACUUUUUUUGUGUUUUCACAUGAUUAUGCUACUGUAGUAAUCAUGUUUUAUAGCUUUUGUUUCAAUAAAGUGCCAAGUAAGACCUUUAGGAUGGCUUACGGUGAUAGUAGUGUUGAUCCUGCUGAAAAUCAGAAACUUUUGCACCCAGUAAAUUAGUUUUUUUAAUUCACAUAAACGUGAUUAUGAUCUGAUUCUUUUUUCUCUGGAUUGGUACACAAAUUUCAUAGGACUUCCUAAUUUGGUAGGAUUUUUGGGGUUACAGAAGUAUACGUUUGAUACAGAUUACUACAGACUGUUCUGUUUUUGACAGAUUCUAUUUUCUAUGUGUUGUUUACUUUUUUUGACGAAUCUAUGAGUAGUAUCGGAGGGUAUGAACCAUAGAUAAGUUAGAAUACAGUAGAUAUUACACCAAUAUGAAUUUAGAAUGAGUUCAUUAUAGUACCUUGAUGUGGUGGUUUUGUUUUCUUUCACUAACGGAGCUUAUAAGAUUUCCUGUUGAGUUUUGUGUUGUGAAGUUUUCAAGUUUUGGUUAAAGAUUCGAUGGACUAUGGAAUAAGGAGUGGCAAGAGCCUAAGCUUGGGGAUGCCCAAGGCACCCCAAGGUAAUAUUCAUGGACAACCAAGAGCCUAAGCUUGGGGAUGCCCCGGAUGGCAUCCCCUCUUUCGUCUUCGUUCAUUGGUAACUUUACUUGGAGCUAUAUUUUUAUUCACCACAUGAUAUGUGUUUUGCUUGGAGCAUCAUUUUCUUUUGUUAGUUUUUUCUUUCUGUUAUUUAUAAUAAUGUUUUGCAUCUUUAGUUUCAAUAAAGAAGUCAAGGAUAGCCUUUGCCAUGCUUAUUUUGCUAGUAUACAUGUUGCUGUUUGAAAAUAGAAAGUUUACCGCUGUUGCAAAAAUUCCCUAGAAAAGUCAGAGAGUGGUAUAAUGUUGAAUCUUUCUGCAUAUUGAGAUCUGAUAAAUUUAUUACAGUGGGAAUUUUAGUUCAUAAUUUUUGGAGCUAGGGAAGUAUUGAUACUCUUGCAUUCUUUACAGACUGUACUGUUUUGGCAGAUUGCUGUUAUGUUUGCAUUGUUUGCAUAUGUUUGCUUGUUUAAUGAUUCUAUUUGAGGAUAGGACUAUUAAAUAGGCAGAGGCAUUUAGUAUGCAAUGUUGAAUAAUAAUUUAAGUGAUUUGUUACAGUAGAAAAUGAUAAGGUUUUGCAUUGGUUUAUACUAACCUAUCUCACGAGUUCUUGUUGAGUUUGUUGUGAAUGAAGCUUUUGAUAAAAAGAGAAACCAUGAUAUGAGAGGAAUUAAGGAGACACAAAAGCUCAAGCUUGUGGAUGCCCAAGGCACCCCAAGAUAAUAUUUCAAGAAGUCUCAAGCAUCUAAGCUUGGGGAUGCCCGGUAGGCAUCCCACCUUUCUUCUUCAACAACUAUCGGUUAGUAUCUGUUGAGCCUAAGUUUUUGCUUCUUCACAUGAGUUGUGCUAUCCUUGCAAUGUAGUUUUCUUUAGCUUUGCUUGCUGUUUGAAUAAAGUAUCAAGAUCUGAAAUUAUUAAAUGAGAGAGAGUCUUCGCAUAGUUGCAUAAUUAUUUAGCUACUCAUUGACCUUCACUUAUAUCUUUCGGAGUAGUUUGUCAUUUGCUCUAGUGCUUCACUUAUAUCUUUUAGAGCAUGGUGGUAGUUUUAUUUUGGAGAAAUAUAUGAACUCUCAUGCUUCACUAAUAUUAUUUUGAGAGUCUUAAAUAGCAUGGUAAUUUGCUUAAUGUUAAUAUACCUGGUAUUCAAGAUAUGUGAAACUUUCUUUUGAGUGCGUUCAAUACUAAGAUAAGUUUGAUCUUGAUAAUUGUUUUGAGAUAUGGAGGUGAUAAUAUCAAAGUCGUGCUAGUUGAGUUAUUAUGAAUUCAAAGAAUGCUUGUGUUGAAGUUUGCAAGUCCCGUAGCAUGCACGUAUGGUUAAAGUUGUGUAACAAAUUUGAAACAUUAAGUGUACCUGGCUUGUGCAUCCUUAUGAGUGGCGGUCGGGGACGAGCGAUGGUGUUUUCCUACCAAUCUAUCCCCCUAGGAGCAUGCGCGUAGUACUUGGUUUUUGAUGACUUCUAAAUUUUUGCAAUAAGUAUAUGAGUUCUUUUGACUAAUGUUGAGUCCACGGAUUAUACGCACUCUCACCUUUCCGCCUUUGCUAGCCUCUUCGGUACCAUGCAUUGCCCUUUCUCACCUUGAGAGUUGGUGCAAACUUCGUCGGUGCAUCCGUGAUAUGAUACGCUCUAUCACACAUAAACCUCCUUAUAUAUUCCUCAAAACAGCCACCAUACCUACCUAUCAUGGCAUUUCCAUAGCCAUUCCGAGAUAUAUUGCCAUGCAACCUCCAUCAUCAUAUUCGUGACAUACAUUACUUUUGUCAUAUUGCCAUUGCAUGAUCAUGUAGUUGACAUCGUAUUUGUGGCAAAGCCACCAUGCAUUAUUUUCAUACAUGUCACUCUUGAUUCAUUGCACCAUCCCGGUACACCGCCGGAGGCAUUCAUAUAGAGUCAUAUCUUGUUCUAAGUUUCGAGUUGUAAUCCUUAUGUUGUAAUCAAUAGAAGUGUGAUGAUCAUCAUUAUUAGAGCAUUGCCCAAUAAAAAAAGAGAAAAGCCAAAAAAAGAAAGGCCCAAAAAAAAGAAGAAAGGCCAAAAAGAAAAAAUAAAGGCCCAAAAAAAGAAAAUAAAUAAAAAGGGCAAUGCUACUAUCUCUUUUCCACACUUGUGCUUCAAAAGUAGCACCUUGUUCUUCAUAUAGUGAGUCUCAUAUAUUGUGCUUCAAAGUAGCACCUUGUUCUUCAUGUAGUGAGUCUCAUAAGUUGUCUUUUUAUACUAGUGGGAAUUUUUCAUUAUAGAACUUGGCUUGUAUAUUCCUACGAUGGGCUUCCUCAAAUGCCCUAGGUCUUCGUGAGCAAGCAAGUUGGAUGCACACCCACUAGUUUUCUUUUGUUGACCAUUCAUAGCUCUAGUGCAUCCGUUGCAUGGCAAUCCCUACUCCUCAUGUUGACAUCAAUUGAUGGGCAUCUCCAUAGCCCGUUGAUUAGCCGCGUCAAUGUGAGACUUUCUCCUUUUUUGUCUUCUCCACACAAUCCCCAUAAUCAUAUUCUAUUCCACCCAUAGUGCUAUAUCCAUGGCUCACGCUCAUGUAUUGCGUGAAGGUUGAAAAAGUUUGAGAUUAUUUAAGUAUGAAACAAUUGCUUGGCUUGUCAUCGGGGGUAUAGAAGUUGGGAACAUCUUUGUGUGACGAAAAUGAAGCAUAGCCUAACUAUAUGAUUUUGUAGGGAUGAACUUUAUUUUGCCAUGCUAUUUUGAGAAGACAUGAUUGCUUUGAUUAGUAUGCUUGAAGUAUUAUUAUUUUUGUGUCAAUAUGAACUUUUGUCUUGAAUCUUUCGGAUCUGAAUAUUCAUAUCACAAAUAAGAAGAAUUACAUUGAAAUUAUGCCAAAGUAUCACUCCGCAUCAAAAAUUCUUUUUUAUCAUUUACCUACUCGAGGACGAGCAGGAAUUAAGCUUGGGGAUGCUUGAUACGUCUCCAACGUAUCUAUAAUCUUUGAUUGCUCCAUGCUACUUUAUCUACUGUUUUAGGUAAUAUAGGGCUUUAUUAUCCACUUUUAUAUUAUUUUUGGGACUACCUAUUAACCGGAGACCCAGCCUAGAUUUGUUGUUUUAUGCCUAUUUCAGUGUUUCGAGGAAAAGGAAUAUCAGACGGAGUCAAAACGGAACGAAAUCAACUGGAGAAGUUAAUUUUGGAAGGAAACCAACCAGAUGGGCUUGGAGUGCAUGUCAGGGGAGUCCCGGGCUGCCCACGAGGGUGGGGGGCGCACCCCCUGGGCACGCCCCCCUACCUCGUGAGCAACCCGGAGGUCCACCAACGUACCCCCUGCACCCAUAUAUACCUACGUACCCUAAAACUUCUAGAACAGAAAAUAGAUCGGGAGUUCCGCCGCCGCAAGCCUCUGUAGCCACCAAAAACCUCUCGGGAGCCUGUUCCGGCGCCCUAUCGGAGGGGGAUCCCAUCACCGGUGGCCAUCUUCAUCAUCCCAGUGCUAUCCAUGAUGAGGAGGGAGUAGUUCACCCUCGGGGCUGAGGGUAUGUACCAGUAGCUAUGUGUUUGAUCUCUCUCUCUCUCUCUCUCGUGUUCUUGAGGUGAUACGAUCUUGAUGUAUCCCGAGCUUUGCUAUUGUAGUUGGAUCUUAUGAUGUUUCUCCCCCUCUACUCUCUUGUGAUGAAUUGAGUUUCCCCUUUGAAGUUAUCUUAUCGGAUUGAGUCCUUUAUGAGAACACUUGAUGUAUGUCUUGCCGUGAUUAUUUGUGGUGACAAUGGGAUAUCUUGUGCCACUUGAUGUAUGUUUUGGUGAUCAACUUGCGGGUCUCGUGACAUUGGGAACCUAUGCAUAGGGGUUGGCACACGUUCUUGACUCUCCGGUAGAAACUUUGGGGCACUCUUUGAAGUACUUUUAUGUUGGUUGGAUGAAUCUGAGAUUGUGUGAUGCAUAUCGUAUAAUCAUGCCCACGGAUACUUGAGGUAACAAUGGAGUAUCUAGGUGACAUUAGGGUUUUGGUUGAUUUGUGUCUUAAGGUGUUAUUCUAGUACGAACUCUUUUAUAGAUUGAUCCGAAAGAAUAACUUUGAGGUGGUUUCGUACCCUACCAUAAUCUCUACGUUUGUUCUCCGCUAUUAGUUGCUUCGGAGUGACUCUUUGUGCAUGUUUAGGGCUUGUUAUAUUAUCUACCUAUGUUAUUAUUGUUGAGAGAACAUGCACUAGUGAAAGUAUGAACCCUAGGCCUUGUUUCCUACCAUUGCAAUACCGUUUACACUCACUUUUACCACUUGUUACCUUGCUGUUUUUAUUAUUUCAGAUUACAAAAACCUAUAUCUACUAUCUAUUUUGCACUUGUAUCACUAUCUCUUCGCCGAACUAGUGCACCAAUGCAAUUUACCAUUGUAUUGGGUGUGUUGGGGACACAAGAGACUCUUUGUUAUUUGGUUGCAGGGUUGUUUGAGAGAGACCAUCUUCAUCCUACGCCUCCUACGGAUUGAUAAACCUUAGGUCAUCCACUUGAGGGAAAUUUGCUACUAUCCUACAAACCUGUGCACUUGCAGGCCCAACAACGUCUACAAGAAGAAGGUUGUGUAGUAGACAUCAGCCAUCCAUUUGCCUCCUGCUCCAGAUCCGGACAUCUUUGGAGAACCUCUCUUCGGUGGAGAAGAAGAGUGCUUGGGCGCUAGGGCUCGAGCAGAGGGGAAUGGACUAGCAGGGGGAAAAGGCGUGGGUAGAGAGGGAGAGAUAUUGUCUCUUUAUAGGGACAGUAAAGCUUUUUGCGCCUCCCCACUUGCCUAGUGUAACCCGCUCGUUCUCCACUCGCCGCAAUUAGCGGUGCGUUUGGGUUACCCGUACCCAUAUUGAUGAGAAUCCCGCAGUAAGGGGACACGAUCUCUGCUUCGGCAAUACAUGCGGAGGAAACCGCCUCGCGAUAUGCGCUGAGGCUGGUUAUGGAAAAACGGUUCGAAUAAUGACUCGGCCAUAGUAUCGUGUCGCUUUGUCUAAAGAUGUCAGCAGGUUAUAUUUUGUUAAAUACCAUCCUCUCUAAAGUGGUACGUGAAGAUCAUCUUGCAGAUCCGGACACGAUCUGAGGGUUCGAUAAAUACUUUGGAGUAUUCGGAGAUGGAACCCGCCUUGCAAUGCCGAAAACAAAACUGCGCGCCGGACUCAUCGUCAUUGAAGCCUGGUUCAGGGGCUACUGAGGGAGUCCUGGAUAAGGGGGUAUCCGGACAGCCGGACUGUAUACUCUGUCCGGACUGCUGGAACAUGAAGAUACAAGACUCAAGACUCCGUCCCGUGUCCGGACUCUCCUUGGCGUGGAAGACAAGCUUGGCGAUCCGGAUAUUAUAUUUCGUUCCUUGUAACCGAUUCCAUGUAAACCCUAGCCCUCUCCAGUGUCUAUAUAAACCAGAAGUUUGGUCCUUAGAGGGACGAUCACAAUCAUAAUCAUCAUAGGCUAGCUUCUAGGGUUUAGCCUCUACGAUCUCGUGGUAGAUUAACUCUUGUACUACUCAUAUCAUCAAUAUCAAUCAAGCAGGAAGUAGGGUUUUACCUCCGUCGAGAGGGCCCAAACCUGGGUAAACAUUGUGUUCCUUGCCUCCUGUUACCAUUAGCCUAAGACGCACAGAUCGGGACCCCCUACCCAAGAUCUGCCGGGUUUGACACCGACACCGCCGCCCUCCUUGUCCAAUUCGGACUUGGGGGGGGGGAGCGGCGCGAGGCUGCCCCUUGGCUGCCACUCCUCUUCCACCACUUGGGCCCAUGAGGCCCAUUAACCUCCGGGGGGUUCCGGUAACCCCCCAGUACUCCGGUAUAUAUCUGAUAACCCCCGGAACCAUUCCGGUGUCUGAAUAUAGUCGUCCAAUAUAUCAAUCUUCAUGUCUCGACCAUUUAGAGACUCCUUGUCAUGUCCCUGAUCAUAUCCGAGACUCCGAACUACCUUCGGUACAUCAAAACAUAUAAACUCAUAAUAUAACCGUCAUCUAACUUUAAGCAUGCGGACCCUACGGGUUCGAGAACUAUGUAGACAUGACCGAUACACGUCUUCGGUCAAUAACUAGUAGCGGAACCUGGAUGCUCAUAUUGGCUCCCACAUAUUCUACAAAGAUCUUUAUCGGUCAAACCGCAUAACAACAUACCUUGUUCCCUUUGUCAUCGGUAUGUUACUUGCCCGAGAUUCGAUCGUCGAUAUCUCAAUACCUAGUUCAAUCUCGUUACCGGCAAGUCUCUUUACUCGUUACGUAAUGCAUCAUCCCGUAACUAACUCAUUAGCUACAUUGCUUGCAAGGCUUAUAGUGAUGUGCAUUACCGAGAGGGCCCAGAGAUACCUCUCCGACAAUUGGAGUGACACAUCCUAAUCUCGAAAUACGUCAACUCAACAAGUACCUUUGGGGACACUUGUAGAGCACUUUUAUAAUCACCCAGUUACGUUGUGAUGUUUGGUAGCACACAAAGUGUUCCUCCGAUAAACAGGAGUUACAUAAUCUCAUAGUCAUAGGAACAUGUAUAAGUCAUGAAGAAAGCAAUAGCAACAUACUAAACGAUCAAGUGCUAAGCUAACGGAAUGGGUCAAGCAAUCACAUCAUUCUCCUAAUGAUGUGAUCCCGUUAAUCAAAUGACAACUCAUGUCUAUGGUUAGGAAACGUAACCAUCUUUGAUUCAUGAGCUAGUCAAGUAGAGGCAUACUAGUGACACUCUGUUUGUCUAUGUAUUCACACAUGUAUUAUGUUUCCGGGUAAUACAAUUCUAGCAUGAAUAAUAAACAUUUAUCAUGAUAUGAGGAAAUAAAUAAUAACUUUAUUAUUGCCUCUAGGGCAUAUUUCCUUCAGUCUCCCACUUGCACUAGAGUCAAUAAUCUAGAUUACACAGUAAUGAUUCUAACACCCAUGGAGCCUUGGUGCUGAUCAUGUUUUGCUCGUGGAAGAGGCUUAGUCAACGGGUCUGCAACAUUUAGAUCCGUAUGUAUCUUGCAAAUCUCUAUGUCUCCCACCUGGACUUGGUCCCAUAUGGAAUUGAAGCGUCUCUUGAUGUUCUUGGUUCUCUUGUGAAAUCUGGAUUCCUUUGCCAAGGCAAUUGCACCACUAUUGUCACAAAAGAUUUUCAUUGGACCCGAUGCACUAGGUAUGACACCUAGAUCGGAUAUGAACUCCUUCAUGCAGACUCCUUCAUUUGCUGCUUCCGAAGCAGCUAUGUACUCCGCUUCACAUGUAGAUCCCGCCACGACGCUUUGUUUAGAACUGCAUCAACUGACAGCUCCACCGUUCAAUAUAAACACGUAUCCGGUUUGCGAUUUAGAAUCGUCCGGAUCAGUGUCAAAGCUUGCAUCGACGUAACCAUUUAUGACUAGCUCUUUAUCACCUCCAUAAACGAGAAACAUAUCCUUAGUCCUUUUCAGGUAUUUCAAGAUGUUCUUGACCAUUGUCCAGUGAUCCACUCCUGGAUUACUUUGGUACCUCCCUGCUAAACUAAUAGCAAGGCACACAUCAGGUCUGGUACAUAGCAUUGCAUACAUGAUAGAGCCUAUGGCUGAAGCACAUGGAAAAUCUUUCAUUUUCUCUCUAUCUUCUGCAGUGAUCGGGCAUUGAGUCUGCUCAAUUUCACACCUUGUAUUACAGGCAAGAACCCUUUCUUUGCUUGAUCCAUUUUGAACUUUUUCAAAACUUUAUCAAGGUAUGUAUUUUGUGAAAGUUCAAUUAAGCAUCUUGAUCUAUCUCUAUAGAUCUUGAUCCCCAAUAUAUAAGCAGCUUCACCGAGGUCUUUCAUUGAAAAACUUUUAUUCAAGUAUCCUUUUAUGCUCUCUAGAAAUUCUAUACCAUUUCCAAUCAAUAAUAUGUUGUCCACAUAUAAUAUUAGAAAUUCUAUAGAGCUCCCACUCACUUUCUUGUAAAUACAGGAUUCUCCAAAAGUCUGUAUAAAACCAUAUGCUUUGAUCACACUAUAAAAGCGUUUAUUCCAACUCCGAGAGGCUUGCACCAGUCCAUAAAUGGAUCGCUGGAGCUAGCACACUUUGUUAGCACCCUUUGGACCGACAAAACCUUCUGGUUGCAUCAUAUACAACUAUUCUUCCAAAAAUCCAUUCAGGAAUGCAAUUUUGAUCCAUUUGCCAAAUUUCAUAAUCAUAAAAUGCGGCAAUUGCUAACAUGAUUCGGACAGACUUAAGCAUCGCAACGGGUGAGAAAGUCUCAUCGUAGUCAACCCCUUGAACUUGUCGAAAACCCUUUGCAACAAGUCGAGCUUUUUAGACAGUAACAUUACCAUUAGCAUCAGUCUUCUUCUUGAAAAUCCAUUUAUUCUCGAUGGCUUGCCGAUCAUUAGGAAAGUCAACCAAAGUCCAUACUUUGUUCCCAUACAUGGAUCCCAUCUCAGAUUUCAUGGCCUCAAGCCAUUUUGCGGAAUCUGGGCUCAUCAUCGCUUCCUCAUAGUUCGUAGGUUCGCCAUGGUCAAGUAACAUGACUUCCAGAAUAGGAUUACCGUACCACUCUGGUGCGGAUCUUACUCUGGUUGACCUACGAGGUUCGGUAGUAACUUGAUCUGAAGUUUCAUGAUCAAUAUCAUUAGCUUCCUCACUAAUUGGUGUAGUCAUCACAGGAACCGGUUUCUGUGAUGAACUAUUUUCCAAUAAAGGAGCAGGUACAGUUACCUCAUCAAGUUCUACUUUCCUCCCACUCACUUCUUUCGAGAGAAACUCCUUCUCUAGAAAGGAUCCAUUCUUGGCAACGAAUGUCUUGCCUUCGGAUCUGUGAUAGAAGGUGUACCCAACAGUUUCCUUUCGGUAUCCUAUGAAGACACAUUUCUCCGAUUUGGGUUUGAGCUUAUCAGGUUGAAGCUUAUUCACAUAAGCAUCGCAGCCCCAAACUUUAAGAAAUGACAACUUUGGUUUCUUGCCAAACCACGGUUCAAAAGGCGUCUUCUCAACGGAUUUUGAUGGUGCCCUAUUUAACGUCAAUGCAGUCGUCUCUAAAGCAUAACUCCAAAAUGAUAGCGGUAAAUCAGUAAGAGACAUCAUAGAUCGCACCAUAUAUAGUAAAGUAUGAUUACGACUUUUGGACUCACCAUUACGCUGUGGUGUUCCAGGUGGCGUGAGUUGCGAAACUAUUCCGCAUUGUUUCAAAUCAAGACAAACUCGUAACUCAAAUAUUCUCCUUCACGAUCAGAUCGUAGAAACUUUAUUUUCUUGUUACGAUGAUUUUCCACUUCACUCUGAAUUCUUUGAACUUUUCAAAUGUUUCAGACUUAUGUUUCAUUAAGUAGAUAUACCCAUAUCUGCUUAAAUCAUCUGUGAAGGUGAGAAAAUAACGAUACCCGCCGCGAGCCUCAACAUUCAUUGGACCACAUACAUCAGUAUGUAUGAUCUCCAACAAAUCAGUUGCUCGCUCCAUGGUUCUGGAGAACGGCGUUUUAGUCAUCUUCCCCAUGAGGCAUGGUUGGCAAGUACCAAGUGAUUCAUAAUCAAGUGGUUCCAAAAGUCCAUCAGUAUGGAGUUUCUUCAUGCGCUUUACAUCAAUAUGACCCAAACGGCAGUGCCACAAAUAAGUUGCACUAUCAUUAUCAACUCUGCAUCUUUUGGCUUCAACAUUAUGAAUAUGUGUAUCACUACUAUCGAGAUUCAUCAAAAAUAGAUCACUCUUCAAGGGUGCAUGACCAUAAAAGAUAUUACUCAUAUAAAUAGAACAACCAUUAUUCUCAGAUUUUAAUGAAUAACCGUCUCGCAUCAAACAAGAUCCUGAUAUAAUGUUCAUGCUCAACGCUGGCACCAAAUAACAAUUAUUUAGGUCUAAAACUAAUCCCGAAGGUAUAUGUAGAGGUAGCGUACCGACGGCGAUCACAUCGACUUUGGAACCAUUUCCCACGUGCAUCAUCACCUCGUCCUUAGCCAAUGUCCGCUUAAUCUGUAGUCCCUAUUUCGAGUUGCAAAUAUUAGCAACAGAACCAGUAUCAAAUACCCAGGUGCUACUGCGAGCUCUGGUAAGGUACACAUCAAUAACAUGUAUAUCACAUAUACCUUUGUUCACCUUGCCAUCCUUCUUAUCCGCCAAAUCCUUGGGGCAGUUCCGCUUCUAGUAACCAGUCUGCUUGCAGUAGAAGCACUCAGUUUCAGGCUUAGGUCCGGCCGUUCUUCUUGGAGUUCCCCUUCUUCUUCCCUUUACCUUUUUUCUUGAAACUGGUGGUCUUAUUGACCAUCAACACUUGAUGCUCCUUCUUGAUUUCUACCUCCGCAGCCUUUAGCAUUGCGAAGAGCUCGGGAAUUGUCUUGUACAUCCCUUGCAUAUUAUAGUUCAUCACGAAGCUCUUGUAGCUUGGUGGCAGUGAUUGAAGAAUUCUAUCAAUGACACUAUCAUCAGGAAGAUUAACUCCCAGUUGAAUCAAGUGAUAGCAAUACCCAGACAUUCUGAGUAUAUGUUCACUGACAUAACCAUUCUCCUCCAUCUUGCAGUUGUAGAACUUAUUGGAGACUUCAUAUCUCUCAAUCCGGGCAUUCACUUGAAAUAUUAACUUCAACUCCUGGAACAUCUCAUACGCUCCAUGACGUUCAAAACGUCGUUGAAGUCCCGGUUCUAAGCCGUAAAGCAUGGCAGACUGAACUAUCGAGUAGUCAUCAGCUUUGCUCUGCCAGACGUUCUUAACGUCGUCAGUUGCAUCUGCAGCAGGCCUGGCACCCAGCGGUGCUUCCAGGGCGUAAUUCUUCUGUGCAGCAAUGAGGAUAAUCCUCAAGUUACGGACCCAGUCCGUGUAAUUACUACCAUCAUCUUUCAACUUUGCUUUCUCAAGGAACGCAUUAAAAUUUAACGGAACAACAGCACGGGCCAUCUAUCUACAACAAACAUAGACAAGCAAAAUACUAUCAGGUACUAAGUUCAUGGUAAAUUUAAGUUCAAUUAAUCAUAUUACUUAAGAACUCCCACUUAGAUAGACAUCCCUCUAAUCAUCUAAGUGAUCACGUGAUCCAAAUCAACUAAACCAUAACCAAUCAUCACGUGAAAUGGAGUACUUUUCAAUGGUGAACAUCACUAUGUUGAUCAUAUCUACUAUAUGAUUCACGCUCGACCUUUCGGUCUCAGUGUUCCGAGGCCAUAUCUGCAUAUGCUAGGCUCUUCAAGUUUAACCUGAGUAUUCCGCGUGUGCAAAACUGGCUUGCACCCAUUGUAGAUGGACGUAGAGCUUAUCACACCCGAUCAUCACGUGGUGUCUGGGCACGACGAACUUUGGCAAUGGUGCAUACUCAGGGAGAACACUUUUAUCUUGAAAUUUAGUGAGAGAUCAUCUUAUAAUGCUACCGUCAAUCAAAGCAAGAUAAGAUGCAUAAAAGAUAAACAUCACAUGCAAUCAAUAUAAGUGAUAUGGUAUGGCCAUCAUCAUCUUGUGCUUGUGAUCUCCAUCUCCGAAGCACCGUUAUGAUCACCAUUGUCACCGGCGCGACACCUUGAUCUCCAUCGUAGCAUCGUUGUCGUCUCGCCAACUAUUGCUUCUAUGACUAUUGCUACCGCUUAGUGAUAAAGUAAAGCAAUUACAGGGCGAUUGUAUUGCAUACAAUAAAGUGACAACCAUAUGGCUCCAGCCAGUUGCUGAUAACUCAGUUACAAAACAUGAUCAUCUCAUACAAUAAAAUAUAGCAUCACGUCUUGACCAUAUCACAUCACAACAUGCCCUGCAAAAACAAAUUAGACGUCCUCUACUUUGUUGUUGCAAGUUUUACAUGGCUGCUACGGGCUUAGCAAGAACCGUUCUUACCUACGCAUCAAAACCACAACGAUAGUUCGUCAAGUUAAUGUUGUUUUAACCUUCUCAAGGACCGGGUGUAGCCACACUCGGUUCAACUAAAGUUGGAGAAACUGACACCCGCCAGCCACCUGUGUGCAAAGCACGUCGGUAGAACCAGUCUCGCGUAAGCGUACGCGUAUGUCGGUCCGGGCCGCUUCAUCCAACAAUACCGCCGAACCAAAGUAUGACAUGCUGGUAAGCAGUAUGACUUGUAUCGCCCACAACUCACUUGUGUUCUACUCGUUCAUAUAACAUCUAUGCAUAAAACCAGGCUUGGAUGCCACUAUCGGAGAACAUAGUAAUUUCAAAAAAAUUCCUACGCACACGCAAGAUCAUGGUGAUGCAUAGCUACGAGAGAGGAGAGUGUUGUCCACGUACCCUCGUAGACCGAAAGCGGAAGCAUUAGCACAACGCGGUUGAUGUAGUCGUACGUCUUCACGAUCCGACCGAUCAAGUACCGAACGCAUGGCACCUCCGAGUUCAGCACACGUUCAGCUCGAUGAUGUCCCUCGAACUCCGAUCCAGCCGAGCUUUGAGGGAGAGGUCCGUCAGCAUGACGGCGUGGUGAUUAUGAUGAUGUUCUACCGACGCAGGGCUUCGCCUAAGCACCGCUACGAUAUUAUCGAGGUGGAUUAUAGUGGAGGGGGGCACCGCACACGGCUAAGAGAUCUCAAGGAUCAAUUGUUGUGUUCCUAGGGGGUGCCUCCCUCCCCAUAUAUAAAGGAGUGGAGGAGGGGGAGGGGGCCAGCCACCCUUGACGCGCCCCAUGAGGAGUCCUACUCCAACCGGGAGUAGGACUCCCCCCUUCCUNNNNNNNNNNNNNNNNNNNNNNNNNNNNNNNNNNNNNNNNNNNNNNNNNNNNNNNNNNNNNNNNNNNNNNNNNNNNNNNNNNNNNNNNNNNNNNNNNNNNNNNNNNNNNNNNNNNNNNNNNNNNNNNNNNNNNNNNNNNNNNNNNNNNNNNNNNNNNNNNNNNNNNNNNNNNNNNNNNNNNNNNNNNNNNNNNNNNNNNNNNNNNNNNNNNNNNNNNNNNNNNNNNNNNNNNNNNNNNNNNNNNNNNNNNNNNNNNNNNNNNNNNCGCCUCUCCUCUUCCACCACUUGGGCACAUGAGGCCCAUUAACCUCCGGGGGGGUCCGGUAACCCCCCGGUACUCCGGUAUAUAUCUGAUAACCCCCGGAACCAUUUCGGUGUCCGAAUAUAGUCGACCAAUAUAUCAAUCUUCAUGUGUCGACCAUUUCGAGACUCCUCGUCAUGUCCAUGAUCAUAUCCGGGACUCCGAACUACCUUCGGUACAUCAAAACAUAUAAACUCAUAAUAUAACCUUCAUCUAACUUUAAGCGUGCGGACCCUACGGGUUCGAGAACUAUGUAGACAUGACCGAGACACGUCUCCGGUCAAUAACCAAUAGCGGAACCUAGAUUCUCAUAUUGGCUCCCACAUAUUCUACGAAGAUCUUUAUCGGUCAAACCGCAUAACAACAUACAUUGUUCCCUUUGUCAUCGGUAUGUUACUUGCCUGAGAUUCGAUCGUCGGUAUCUCAAUACCUAGUUAAAUCUCGUUACCGGCAAGUCUCUUCACUCAUAAUGUAAUGCAUCAUCCUGUAACUAACUCAUUAGCUACAUUGCUUGCAAGGCUUAUAGUGAUGUGCAUUACCGAGAGGGCCCAGAGAUACCUCUCCGACAAUUGGAGUGACAAAUCCUAAUCUCGAAAUACGUCAACUCAAAAAGUACCUUCAGAGACACCUGUAGAGCACGUUUAUAAUCACCCAGUUACGUUGUGACAUUUGGUAGAGCACAAAGUGUUCCUCCGGUAAACGGGAGUUACAUAAUCUCAUAGUCAUAGGAACAUGUAUAAGUCAUGAAGAAAGCAAUAGCAACAUACUAAACAAUCAAGUGCUAAGCUAACGGAAUGGGUCAUGUCAAUCACAUCAUUCUCCUAAUGAUGUGAUCCUGUUAACCAAAUGACAACUCAUGUCUAUGGUUAGGAAACUUAACCAUCUUUGAUUCACGAGCUAGUCAAGUAGAGGCAUACUAGUGACACUCUAUUUAUCUAUGUAUUCACACAUGUAUUAUGUUUUCGGGUAAUACAAUUCUAGCAUGAAUAAUAAAAAUUUAUCAUGAUAUGAGGAAAUAAAUAAUAACUUUAUUAUUGCCUCUAGGGCAUAUUUCCUUCAGAAGGAACCAAAGAAGAGAUCGUUUGUCUCAUCUGGUGAAUGUUGAAGAGGAGUUUAUCCCUAGCAUGUCUAGAGCAAGCGUCCAACAGCAGGUUCAUUGUUAAAGUCAUGUGGAGAUGUAUACCUCUCUAAUAUUCUGUUGUAACCAUCAUCUGUGGUCUCCUUGUCAGUGGCCAGGUUGGUCUCUCAUGCUCAUGUUAUGUGGGAUAGUGCUCAUGUUAUGUGGGUUAGGUUGUAUUGAUUUUAACCCGCUUUCCUGUUAAUUAGGCGGGCAAUUCUCACUCUCCUCUUAAUUAAUGAAAAUAACAAGUCUUCUUUCGAGCCGCUCUCCCAGUAAACAUUCAAAGGCAUCACCAUACCAUAGCACUUUUGAGCGUCAGAAAUGCUUUUUUGGCUUCUUCUCCGUUAAAAAAUUAUGCUAUUAAAGAAUAGACUAGCUUGUCGCAGAUUUUUAGUUCCAUUCACCGAUUUUAAUUAGCCAUUUUAUGGGUAUUUUCCACAUCAAAUUAUAAGAUAAUUUAGCAUUUCAACCGUAACAAACUUAGCCUCAAACUAACUAAUUUAUGUACUCGUUCUAUCUUCUUCUAUCAAUGAAAUGAUAUGCAAACUUUGCGUAUUCGGGAGAAAAAAACUAAUUUCAAACCCAUCCCAUUCUCAACUAAGUAGAGAUUUGUGGCAUGAUGAGUUAUUUUUGUUUUAUGUUGUCUAACCAAACCUUUAGAGAUGUAAUGGGGGAACAUUAGAAAUGUCGUGAUCAACUUGUUUUCACAUCAACCUAAACUUAGAAUUAGUUAAUAAUCUAAUCCUCAACCGUAGCAGUAUGAGUUUUCUCAGUGUUGGUUUUGUCAUUCUUUGUUACUAGUUCUUAAAUUUUGGCUAGUUUUGGCUUGCUCUGGUUUCUGCUUUUGUCCUAUUUUUUUUCCUUUGCAUUUUCUCAGCAAUCUUUCAACACAAGACAACAAAAUCAAGAUAAGAACUUGGCGUCGCCUCCCCUACGGCGACUCGAGGGCGAACCCUAGAUCGCCUCCGUGCUCCCCCUCCCUCUCCUUUCCCUCCGCCGCCACCUGAGCUGCUCGCCGGCGCGGCCGCGCGGCACCUAUGAAGGGGGCGACGGGGAUCUAGUGAAGGAAAUAUGCCCUAGAGGCAAUAAUAAAGUUAUUAUUUACUUCCUUAAUUCAUGAUAAAUGUUUAUUAUUCAUGCUACAAUUGUAUUAACCGGAAACUUAGUACAUGUGUGAAUACAUAGACAAAAUAUAUAGUCCCUAGUAUGCCUCUACUUGACUAGCUCGUUUAUCAAAGAUGGUUAUGUUUCCUAAUCAUAGACAUGUAUUGUCAUUUGAUGAAAGGGAUCACAUCAUUAGGAGAAUGAUGUGAUGGACAUGACCCAUCCGUUAGCUUAGCAUUAUGAUCGUGUUAGUUUCAUUGCUACUGCUUUCUUCAUGACUUAUACAAGUUCCUCAGACUAUGAGAUUAUGCAACUCCUGAAUACCGGAAGAACACUUUGUGUGCUACAAAACAUCACAACGUAAAUGGGUGAUUAUAAAGGUGCUCUACAGGUGUCUCCGAAGGUGUUUGUUGGGUUGGCAUAGAUCGAGAUUAGGAUUUGUCACUCCGUGUUUCGGAGAGGUAUCUCUGGGCCCUCUCUCUAAUACUCAUCACUAUAAGCCUUGCAAGCAUUGUGACUAAUGAGUUAGUUGCGGGAUGAAGUAUUACAGAACGAGUAAAGAGACUUGUCGGUAAUGAGAUUGAACUAGGUAUUGAGAUACCGACGAUCGAAUCUCGGGCAAGUAACAUACCGAUGACAAAGGGAACAACGUAUGUUGUUAUGCGGUUUGACCGAUAAAGAUCUUCGUAGAAUAUGUAGGAACCAAUAUGAGCAUCCAGGUUCCGCUAUUGGUUAUUGACCGGAGAUGUGUCUCGGUCAUGUCUACAUAGUUUUGAACCCGUAGGGUCCGCACGCUUAACGUUUGAUGACGAUUGUAUUAUGAGUUUAUGUGAUAUGUUGUACCGAAGAUUGUUCGGUGUCCCGGAUGUGAUCACGGACAUGACGAGGAGUCUCGAAAUGGUCGAGACAUAAAGAUUGAUAUAUUGGACGACUAUAUUCAGACACCGGAAGUGUUCCGGAGAAGUUUCGGAUAAAACCGGAGUGCCGGAGGGUUACCGGAACCACCCGGGGAACUAAUGGGCCUCGAUGGGCCUUAGUGGAGAGAGAGAGAGGGGUCGGCCAGGGCAGGCCGCACGCCCCUCCCCCUGAGUCCGAAUAGGACAAGGAAGGGGGCGGCGCCCCCUUGCCUUCCCUCUCUCCCUCUCCUUCCUUCCCCCUCCCUUCCCCAAGUUGGAAACCUACUAGGAAUAGGAUUCCUAGUAGUAAUCCUACUUGGGGCGCACCCUACAGGGGCCGGCCGGCCUCCCCCCUUGCUCCUUUAUAUACGGGGGCAGGGGCACCCUAGAACUCACAAGUUGACAAUAUUUUAGCCGUGUGCAGUGCGCCCCUCAACAGUUACACACCUCGGUCAUAUCGUCGUAGUGCUUAGGCGAAGCCCUGCGCCGGUAACUUCAUCAUCAUCGUCACCACGCCGUCGUGCUGACAAAACUCUCCCUCGGCCUCAACUGGAUCAAGAGUACGAGGGACGUCUCCGAGUUGAACAUGUGCUGAACAUGGAGGUGUCGUGCGUUCGGUGCUUGGAUCGGUUGGAUCACGAAGAUGUUCGACUACAUCAACCGCGUUAACUAAAUGCUUCCGCUUUCGGUCUACGAGUACACACUCUCCCCUCUCGUUGCUAUGCAUCACCUAGAUAGAUCUUGCAUGAUCGUAGGAAAUUUUUUGAAAUUAUUGCGUUCCCCAACAUCUAGCGGCUCCGCCUUCGCGGAGGGCCCUGGCGUUUGGAGCGACAGCUCCGAUAGGUGGUGCCCUGCGUGGCCGGUGCGGCGGGCUGUGCUGACGGGUGUUGAUGGGCUGCCUCCCUAGCCGUGCGGGCGGCAGGGUGGCGGGCGCUAGCGUUGCGGCGCCCCCGCGUGGGUGGCUCUGCCGUCCUGGGGAGGCUCCAUCCCCGGCCUUGAUCUGCUCCAAUCUACGCGUGCUUCAGCCCUUGGUGGCUUCGGUCGUUGUCAUGGGGGCCUAGACGGGCGGAUCUGGUGGUUGGGCAUGAUUCUGGGGGGAAACCCCGGCGCGGCGGCAUCACAAAAGGCGACGUCUUUGGGCACCAUGUUCCUUCCUGGAGGCUUUAGUGUGGUACUCCCCUCCUACCCCCCCCCCCGCCCCUCGAGCAUAGGUGAAGACCUGCCCUCCCCUUUCUUGAACGACGGCGGCAUCCGGUGCCGUGCUCCUUCUUGAAGGCGUCUUCCAGGGAUUUUCUCGUGUGGGGUGGAGCUGCUGGUGGUGCGCUGACGGUGUGAGACGGCCUAGUCUUCUCUGUGGCUGCCGCUGUGGUCUCGGUUGCGGUGCUCCAAUCCCUGACCACUGCGUGGCAUUGCCCUUUUGGCCUUCUCCGUGGAUCUUCGCCUUCGUUCGACGACUCGCGACCGACAUCCUAUCCUGCGGCUUCCGGCGACGGUGCUCUUUGGUCGGUUUCCGGUGCAUGUGGGUUUGCCUAUGCUGUUUCCGUCUGGUGGCUCGACACCCUGGUUUGGGUUCAUGUCGAACCAAUCUGUCGGCCGCUGGUGCGGCUCCCGUCAAGCCCGGGUGAAAGGGUUGUGGCCCUUUGCGGUGGCAGAGACAGAUCUUGUGAUGCCCUUGUCUGCCCGUGCGGUUGCAGCCAGCGACACGAUACAAGCCCGCAGUUGCCGUCCUCCUGUAGCCUUAGUUUGGUUUGCUUGUUUGGCAUUGCGGUGGUCGUUGGCAACACUGUUUGUUGUUGCCUUUGAGCCAUUCCUCUCGGCACUAUGUAUCCCUGCUCCACUUUGUUUCCUUUUCUAUGUAAUGUGGUUUGUGUAAUCCUGGCCGGUUGAUGGCUUUGUUAAUUCAAAGUCGGGCUAGGUUCGAUCCCUUUCUCGGGCUCGACCGAUGCCUUUUCUCUAAAAAAAGAUAAGAACUUGUUUUCGCAUAAAAAUAUGUGCCUAAGAAAAAAAUUCUUUUCACGUGAUCUGAACCAUAAAUGUGGAAAUAAACCUCGAUGAUUUGAUAUUAGUGAGAAAAUUAAAUCAACAAAACAGGAAAUUAUUCCACAAUGUUUCCAUCCGAGCCUUGUUGUAGAUCUCCUUGCUAUUUUGAGGCACUGAUAUAACAUACAUCUAAAAUUAUGAAAUGUUAAAAUAAACAUGAAAAUACGGAUACCGAGGAUCAAAAUUUGAAUUCUUCUGUGCAUGUCAUGGUUCAUGUUGCAUUUGAUGAAAAAGGGUUUCCCCCCGCUUUAGAUUAUAAAGCAACCGCACCGACAACAUCCGACAACAACAACGAGUUCUAGGUUCAAGCACAACCAAAAGCAAAAGCGAAGAAAGAAAAGAGUGCAACUAGGUUCAGCUUGGGGCACAACACAACAAACCCCAAUAAUGGACGCAGCCAACUAGCUAAUCUGGCUCAGGCGGAGGAGGGGAGGUGGCGGCGCGAUGGAUGUGGCGGUGGAAUGAAGACUCGCAAUGAUCAUGUCAAGAUUGUCCCGGUCACUCCGCUUGCUAAGGAGUCUCCAGAGCUAUAAGAAACCACACCGUUUAAAUAUCGCGUCAGUCGCACGAGUCGGAAUCACAUGCUCAAUCACUAGUUUAUUGUGCACAAUCCAUAAGGUCCAAGUGAGAGAGCACAUCACCACCCAAAGGGAGGGCGUAACCUGGAUGGCCGGCUGAGGAUUUCCUGGAACAUGUCCGGGAGGUUAUCAUGGCACACCAAUUGCCACCGACAACAUCCCGGAGGCAACUUCAAAGAAAGAUCGCUGCCGGGCAGCGGAAGAAUAUGUGGUUGGAGUCCUCAAGUACUCCGCAUAAGGGGCAUAGCCCAUCCCCCGGGCCAUUGUGUUUGAGAACCUAUGUGCCUGAAGGGAGGCGGCCGCACACCCAUUCCCAGAGGAAGAUGCGGAUCUUCAAUGGAAAUUUAAUCUCCCAAAGGAGAGUUAACUCGUUCGGACCUAGCGAGGCCAAUAGAGCGUGAUAUAAGGACUUGGCCGAGAACCUCCCACUUCGUUCAAAUGUCCAUGAGAUCGCGUCCUCCUCAAGGGAGGGGGCAUGGAGGGCUAUGCAUUCAAGCAACUCCUCCCAUUUGUCCUGUUCAAGCGGGCCAAAAGUGCGUCGGAAGGCGAUGCUCCCAAACUCCUCUAAGGCCACACUCACCGUGAGUUGUAGGCAAGUGCAAAUACUAAAUAGCGCAUAGAACCGUUCUGCGAACUGUCUAUCACCCGACCACCAAUCUAGCCAAAACAUGGUGUUGGUAUCCGUCCCCACUGAGAUCGAGGAGCCGAUCCGAAGGACUGGUAAUAAUUGCAUGAUUGACUGCCAGAAUUAGGAUCCGCCAAGCCUUGCUUAAUUAUUGGUUGAUAAGGCCCUUAUUCUCUCACUCACAAAGAUAGGGACAUCAGUGGGAAGUUGAGAGUGGUCAACGUGGGAUAUAGAAGGCGGUAUAAGUGUUAUUCAUUACAUUUGGCGAACACUUACGGGCUGAAAGGAAGCAACAUUCAUACAACAUCCUCUAUUACAUUACAAAGAAAACGGAAAGAUAAAUUUCUGCAUAACAUGGGCUGAAAGGAAGCAACAUUCAUGCAACAUCCUUUAUUGGAUUACAAAGAAAACGGAAACAUAUACUUCUGCAUAACAUGUGAACUGUAGUGCCAAACCAUUCACUGACUUUAUUCUUCUGGCCUUCUUAACUAGUAGCUCCCUAUUCUCCGAGAGCGAACACGCCCACAUCAUGGGUGUUAGACAGACCGGUGUCGGUAUUGAUGGUGACCUUAUCAGUAGAAGACUCAUAUACAUAGACCUCGACCAAAGAGUACAGGUCCUCAAUCUUGACCCCGGUGACCUUCUCCACAAAAGCGGUCACCUCAGUGUCGUAGGAGACGGUCUGGUUGAGAUUGUUGAACAUGUGCUCGUUAUUCUUCUUCUGAAGCAUCCACACAAACCCACUCUCACAGUUGUGCCCGACCUCCUCGAUGUUAUCCAUAGGAAAGAGGCCUUUCGGGAGGCCAACCUCUUCGAGAAGCUCGACGGUCUUCUUCUUGCAGAUAUCGUUCGCCUUGUGGACCUCGGCACCGGCACGGUGGCUCUCGACCAGCUGGGACGCCAUUUGAGCACCUUCUUACUAGGACUUGUUUGCUUCAGGGUGGGUUUCUAGGUUUGUGAAUUGGCAGAUGAGCUUGUGGUACUUGAUAGAUCAGGAUCUGAUGGUGCUGCCUUAUAUAGAUGGUACAAACUGUAACGGCUCCUAAAUGCCUCUAGGAUGGAUUCAUGCGCGGCUGCGCACGCCAAUCGAAUGAGAUCGGCAGUUGUCUUUUAUGGACUUCUUUCAGAUAAUUCUUGUUUUGAAGAAAAAAAAUGGACGUCUCCCCUUUGGAGUUAGCUCACUACGUCCAGCCAUAUCUGACCAUUGAAAUGCCUUAUGCUGAACUGGUCAAGGAUGACUAAAUUGACCAUUGCGUAUAUUGGUGUAGAAGAAGUCCAUGUGAUCUUAUCCAAGAAGCCGGGCUCCAUAAAGCACACUCGUUCGAGAUUCUUAAAAGAAAGAAGCAUAAGUUGGUGGCCUCGGGAGAUACAAAAAAUCAGUUCCCGAGUCAAAAAAUAAAUAAAUCUGUUCCCUUUGCACUUAGACUACAAGCUUUGUGGGCAAAGCAAUUCACGGAACGCUGACCUUGUUUUCACGUAAACUAAGAAAUUAUUCGCAAUAUUUCUUUUUCCGGGAAAACUGACGAUCUAAUCAUUUUCAAUCAUGACAGUACAACGAACAUAAGAAAUAAAUAAAAAUAUAUCCAGAUCCGUAGACCACCUAGCAACGACUACAAACACUGAACCGAGUCUAAGGCGCCACCGUCAUCGCCCUCCCUCUCCGGAGACGGGUAAAAUUUGUUGUAGUAGACAAUUGAAAAGUCUUCGUGUUAAGGCAUCAUAGGACCAGCGCACCAGAACUGCAACCGCCGCAAAUUAAGAUUAGCGUAGAUCAGAAGGAUCCAAUCUGAAAACACACGAACGUAGACGAACGACGACCAGAUCCACCAAGACAGAUCCGCCGGAGACACACUUCAACACACCCAUCGACGAUGCCGGGAUGGGGCUAGGCGGGGAAACUUUUAUUCCAUCUUCAGGAUGCCACCACCGGCUCGCCUUCCUGAGCAGGACACAAACCCUAAGAAAACUACAAGAAACAACUAAAAGCGCCCCCUGCCCUCCCCCGCGCCGGCAAGGACCGGGAUCCACCGCUCUCAAAUGGCUCUAGGGCCAUUGGAGACGGGGCGACGCUGGCGGGAGGCGGAAAAACCCUAAGCCUUUUGUCUCAUCUGGUGAACUACCAUGGUCGCCAAAGCAUGAGGAGUUGAUCCCUAGCAUGUCUAUAGCAAGCGUCCAACAACAGGUUCAGUGUUAAAGUCACGUGGACAUGUACCUCUCCAAUAUUCUGUUGUAACCAUCAUCCAUGGUCUCUUUGUGAGUGGCCAGGUCGGGUCGCUGGUGCUCAUGUUAUGUGGGUUAGGUUGUAUCGCUUUUAACCCAGUUUCUUGUUAGUCAAGCGGCACUUCUCACUCUCUUCUUAAUUAAUUAAUAAGUCUUCUGCCUCGUUAAAAAUGCUAUUAAAGAAUAGAGUAGCUUGACAUCGUCAUAGAUUUUGGUAGUUCCAUUCACCAAAUUAUUUUUGCCUAUUUAAUGUAUGGAAUAGCUUACUUUUAUAUAUUUCAUGGCUGUUUUUCCUCACUAAAUUAAAAAAUUCCAUAGUUUAGCAAUUUAUAGGUAUUUUCCACAUCAAAUUGUAAGAUAAUUUUGCAUUUCAACAGUCACAUACUUAGCCUCAAACUAACUAAUAUCUAACCCUUCCCGUUCUCAACUGAGUAGAGGGUUGUGGCAUGAUGAGUUCUUUCCGUUUUAUGUUGUCUGCAACCAAACCCUUAGAGAUGUAAUGGUGGGACAUUAAAAAUGUCCUGAGCAACUUAUUUUCACAUCAACCUGAAGUUAGAAUUAGAAAAUAAUCUAAUCCUCAACCAUAGCAGUAGGAGUUUUGCUCUGUGUUGGUUUUGUCAUUCUCUUUUAUCAGUUCUUAAAUUUGUAGUUUUGGCUUGCUUUAGUUUCUGCCUUUGUCCUCUUUUUUACUUUGCAUUUUCUCAGCAAUCUUUCAACAUAAGAAAACAAAAUCAAGACAAGAACUUGUUUUCACAUAAAAAUAUUUACCAAAGAAAAAAAAUGUUUUUCACAUCGAUCUGAACCAUAAAUGUGGAAAUAAACUCCGAUGAUUUGAUAUUAGUGAGAAAAUUAAAAUCAACAAAACAGGAAAUUAUUCCAUAAUAUUUCCAUCCAAGCCUCGCUAUCGAUUUCCUUGUUAUUUUGAGAAACUGAUAUAACAUACAUAUAAAAAUUAUGAAAUGUUAAAAUCAACAUGAAAAUCCAGAUACCGAGAAUCAAAAUUAGAAUUCUUCUGCGCAUGUCAUGGUUCAUGUUGUAUUUUUAAGCCUUGCUUAAUUAUUGGUUGAUAAGGCCCUCAUUCUCUGACACACAAAGAUAGGGACAACAGUGGGAAGUUGAGAGUGGUCGAUGUGGGAUAUAGGAGGCGGUAUAAGCGUUACUCAUUACAUUUGACGAACGCUUACACGCUGAAAGGAAGCAACAUUCAUGCAACAUCCUCUAUACAUUACAAAGAAAACGGAAACAUAAAUUUCUGCAUAACAUGGGCUGAAAGGAAGCAACAUUCAUGCAACACCCUUUAUUAGAUUACAAAGAAAACGGAAAC
rnacentral:lncRNA from 1 species